rnacentral:rRNA from 1 species
UUGAACGCUGGCGGCAUGCUUUACACAUGCCAGUCGAACGGCAGCGCGGGCUUCGGCCUGGCGGCGAGUGGCGAACGGGUGAGUAAUGCAUCGGAACGUGCCCAGUAGUGGGGGAUAGCCCGGCGAAAGCCGGAUUAAUACCGCAUACGACCUGAGGGUGAAAGCGGGGGACCGAAAGGCCUCGCGCUAUUGGAGCGGCCGAUGUCGGAUUAGCUAGUUGGUGGGGUAAAGGCUUACCAAGGCGACGAUCCGUAGCUGGUCUGAGAGGACGACCAGCCACACUGGGACUGGGACACGGCCCAGACUCCUACGGGAGGCAGCAGUGGGGAAUUUUGGACAAUGGGGGCAAACCUGAUCCAGCCAUGCCGCGUGCGGGAAGAAGGCCUUCGGGUUGUAAACCGCUUUUGUUCGGGAAGAAAUCCUCUGGGCUAAUACCCCGGGGGGAUGACGGUACCGGAAGAAUAAGCACCGGCUAACUACGUG